AGCAGCGUGGCUUAGUGGAAAGAGCACAGGUUUGAGAGUCAGAGGUCGUGGGUUCUAAUCCCAGCUCUGCCA
rfam:Ornithorhynchus anatinus chromosome 12, whole genome shotgun sequence.